UUAAGCGAAUAAGCGUACACGGUGGAUGCCUAGGCAAUCAGAGGCGAUGAAGGACGUGCUAAUCUGCGAAAAGCGUCGGUAAGGUGAUAUGAACCGUUAUACCCGACGAUAUCCGAAUGGGGAAACCCAGUAUCCAAUGGAUACUAUCAUUAACUGAAUCCAUAGGUUAAUGAGGCGAACCGGGAGAACUGAAACAUCUCAGUACCCCGAGGAAAAGAAAUCAACCGAGAUUCCCCUAGUAGCGGCGAGCGAACGGGGAGCAGCCCAGAGUCUUAAUCAAUAACAGUGUCAGGAGAACGGUCUGGAAAGUCCGGCAGUAAAGGGUGAUAGCCCCGUAUCUGAAGAUGCUGUUAUUGUGAACUCGACGAGUAGGGCGGGACACGUGUUAUCCUGUCUGAAUAUGGGGGGACCAUCCUCCAAGGCUAAAUACUCCUGAUUGACCGAUAGUGAACCAGUACCGUGAGGGAAAGGCGAAAAGAACCCCGGCGAGGGGAGUGAAAAAGAACCUGAAACCGUGUACGUACAAGCAGUAGGAGCCUCUUUAUGGGGUGACUGCGUACCUUUUGUAUAAUGGGUCAGCGACUUAUAUUCUGUAGCAAGGUUAACCGUAUAGGGGAGCCGUAGGGAAACCGAGUCUUAACUGGGCGAAUGAGUUGCAGGGUAUAGACCCGAAACCCGGUGAUCUAUCCAUGGGCAGGUUGAAGGUUGGGUAACACUAACUGGAGGACCGAACCGACUAAUGUUGAAAAAUUAGGCGGAUGACUUGUGGAUGGGGGUGAAAGGCCAAUCAAACCGGGAGAUAGCUGGUUCUCCCCGAAAGCUAUUUAGGUAGCGCCUCGUGAACUCAUCUUCGGGGGUAGAGCACUGUUUCGACUAGGGGGUCAUCCCCGACUUACCAACUCGAUGCAAACUGCGAAUACCGAAGAAUGUUAUCACGGGAGACACACGGCGGGUGCUAACGUCCGUCGUGAAGAGGGAAACAACCCAGACCGCCAGCUAAGGUCCCAAAGUCAUGGUUAAGUGGGAAACGAAGUGGGAAGGCUCAGACAGCCAGGAUGUUGGCUUAGAAGCAGCCAUCAUUUUAAAGAAAGCGUAAUAGCUCACUGGUCGAGUCGGCCCGCGCGAAGAUGUAACGGGGCUAAACCAUGCACCGAAGCUGCGGCAGCGACACAAAGUGUUUGUUGGGUAGGGGAGCGUUCUGUAAGCCUGCGAAGGUGUACUGUGAGGUAUGCUGGAGGUAUCAGAAGUGCGAAUGCUGACAUAAGUAACGAUAAUGCGGGUGAAAAACCCGCACGCCGGAAGACCAAGGGUUCCUGUCCAACGUUAAUCGGGGCAGGGGUGAGUCGACCCCUAAGGCGAGGCUGAAAAAGCGUAGUCGAUGGGAAACGGGUUAAUAUUCCCGUACUGGUGGUAACUGCGAUGGGGGAACGGAGAAGGCUAGGUUGUCCGGGCGACGGUCGUCCCGGUUUCAAGCAGGUAGGCAGAGUGAUUAGGCAAAUCCGGUCACUUAAUGCUGAGAUGUGAUGACGAACCACUAAGGUGGUGAAGCAAUUGAUGCCCCCGCUUCCAGGAAAAGCCUCUAAGCUUCAGGUUACCAACAAUCGUACCCCAAACCGACACAGGUGGUCAGGUAGAGAAAUACUCCAGGCGCUUGAGAGAACUCGGUGAAGGAACUAGGGCAAAAUGGUGCCGUAACUUCGGGAGAAGGCACGCUGGCGGUAGGUAAAGUCCCUCCGCGGACGGCGCUGAAGCCAGUCGAAGAUACCAGCUGGCUGCAACUGUUUAUUAAAAACACAGCACUGUGCAAACACGAAAGUGGACGUAUACGGUGUGACGCCUGCCCGGUGCUGGAAGGUUAAUUGAUGGGGUUAGCCGCAAGGCGAAGCUCCUGAUCGAAGCCCCAGUAAACGGCGGCCGUAACUAUAACGGUCCUAAGGUAGCGAAAUUCCUUGUCGGGUAAGUUCCGACCUGCACGAAUGGCGUAAUGAUGGCCAGGCUGUCUCCACCCGAGACUCAGUGAAAUUGAACUCGCUGUGAAGAUGCAGUGUACCCGCGGCAAGACGGAAAGACCCCGUGAACCUUUACUAUAGCUUGACACUGAACAUUGAGCCUUGAUGUGUAGGAUAGGUGGGAGGCUUUGAAGUGUGGACGCCAGUCUGCAUGGA
rnacentral:rRNA from 1 species